rnacentral:rRNA from 1 species
CAAAAGCGUAUAUUAAAGUUGUUGCAGUUAAAAAGCUCGUAGUUGAACCUUGGGCUUGGCUGGCCGGUCCAUCUUUUUUGAUGCGUACUGGACCCAGCCGAGCCUUUCCUUCUGGCUAGCCUUUUGGCGAACCAGGACUUUUACUUUGAAAAAAUUAGAGUGUUCAAAGCAGGCCUUUGCUCGAAUAUAUUAGCAUGGAAUAAUAGAAUAGGACGUUAUGGUUCUAUUUUGUUGGUUUCUAGGACCAUCGUAAUGAUUAAUAGGGACGGUCGGGGGUAUCAGUAUUCAGUUGUCAGAGGUGAAAUUCUUGGAUUUACUGAAGACUAACUACUGCGAAAGCAUUUACCAGGGACGUUUUCAUUAA